rnacentral:rRNA from 1 species
UACGUAGGGUGCAGGCGUUAAUCGGAAUUACUGGGCGUAAAGCGUGCGCAGGCGGUCUUUUAAGUCAGAUGUGAAAUCCCCGGGCUUAACCUGGGAACUGCGUUUGAAACUGGAAGGCUUGAGUGUGGCAGAGGGGGGUGGAAUUCCACGUGUAGCAGUGAAAUGCGUAGAGAUGUGGAGGAACACCGAUGGCGAAGGCAGCCCCCUGGGCCAAUACUGACGCUCAUGCACAAAGCGUGGGGAGCAAACAGG